rnacentral:rRNA from 1 species
CUACGGGGGGCUGCAGUGAGGAAUUUUGCGCAAUGGGGGAAACCUUGACGCAGCAACGCCGCGUGAGUGAUGAAGGCCUUCGGGUCGUAAAACUCUGUCAAGUGGGAAGAACCUAUGUAAGGUUAAUACCCUUAUGUACUGACGGUACCACUGAAGGAAGCACCGGCUAACUCCGUGCCAGCAGCCGCGGUAAUACGGAGGGUGGCAGCGUUAUUCGGAAUUAUUGGGCGUAAAGGGCGCGCAGGCGGUUUUGUAAGUCAGAUGUGAAAGCCCGGGGCUUAACCUCGGAAGUGCAUUUGAUACUGCAAGACUUGAGUAUGGGAGGGGGAAGUGGAAUUCCUGGUGUAGAGGUGAAAUUCGUAGAUAUCAGGAGGAACACCAGUGGCGAAGGCGACUUCCUGGACCAAUACUGACGCUGAGGCGCGAAGGCGUGGGGAGCAAACAGGAUUAGAUACCCCUGUAGUC